UUAUGCCAAACAAGUUCUCCUCCUG
rnacentral:piRNA from 1 species